rnacentral:siRNA from 1 species
UGUCAACGUCUACAAAAAAGUUC